rnacentral:rRNA from 1 species
CGCGUAGGUGGAAGUGUAAGUCAGACGUGAAAGCCCGGGACUCAACCCCGGAAUGGCAUCUGAAACUGCACUCCUAGAGGAUAGACGGAGAAAACGGAAUUCCACAUGUAGCGGUGAAAUGCGUAGAUAUGUGGAAGAACACCAGUGGCGAAGGCGGUUUUCUAGUUUAUUCCUGACACUGAGGCGCGAAAGCUAGGGGAGCGAACAGGAUUAGAUACCCUGGUAGUCC